GACGAACGCUGGCGGCGUGCUUAACACAUGCAAGUCGUACGGUAAGGCCCUUUCGGGGGUACACGAGUGGCGAACGGGUGAGUAACACGUGAGUAACCUGCCCACAACUUUGGGAUAACGCUAGGAAACUGGUGCUAAUACUGGAUAUGUGCUCCUGCUGCAUGGUGGGGGUUGGAAAGCUCCGGCGGUUGUGGAUGGACUCGCGGCCUAUCAGCUUGUUGGUGGGGUAGUGGCCUACCAAGGCGGCGACGGGUAGCCGGCCUGAGAGGGUGACCGGCCACAUUGGGACUGAGAUACGGCCCAGACUCCUACGGGAGGCAGCAGUGGGGAAUAUUGCACAAUGGGCGCAAGCCUGAUGCAGCAACGCCGCGGGCGGGAUGACGGACUUCGGGUUGUAAACCGGUUUCAGCAGGGACGAAGCUUUUUGUGACGGUACCUGCAGAAGAAGCACCGGCUAACUACGUG
rnacentral:rRNA from 1 species